rnacentral:rRNA from 1 species
AAAUCUCGUGUAGUGGCGAACGGGUGAGUAACGCGUAAUCAACCUGCCCUUCAGAGGGGGACAACAGUUGGAAACGACUGCUAAUACCGCAUACUGAAGGAGGGGAUUGCAUUUGAUUAGCUAGUUGGAGGGGUAACGUCCCACCAAGGCGAUGAUCAGUAGACUGUCUGAGAGUAUGAACGGCCACAUUGUGACUGAGACACGUCCCAGACUCCUACGGGAUGACGCAGUGGGGAAUCUUCCGAAAUGGACGAAAGUCUGACGGAGCAACGCCGCGUGAAUGAUGACGGCCUUCGGGUUUGAAAGCUCUGUUAAUCGGGACGCGGUACCGGAAUAGAAAGCCACGGCUAACUACGUGCCAGCAGCCGCGGUAAUAC